UCUGAAUGUUGGAACCAAAGAAACCAUCUUAUUCACUAUUUCAUUUGCUUUUCUCCAUUUCUGUUCCACCUUCCUUAUUAAAAUCUUGGUGAGAAACCAUCUUAUUCACUAUUUCAUUUGCUUUCCUCCAUUUCUGUUCCACCUUGCUUAUUAAAAUCUUGGUGGUUUUGUAUGAAAGCAGUCAAAAUUUGGACAUUGACUAAGUGUAAAGAGUUAUCUUUGUUGCCUCCAGGUAGCUAAUGAGGAAGAGAAGACUGACUGGUCAGUGGAAGAGCAAUAUCGUUGGCAAGCACACAGCAUCCUGCAAGAGAUACAAGAAUCUUUACAGAAACGAGAGAGGGAAGUCACUGAGCUCCUACAAAGUGAAAGAAGACUUAACAAGGCAAUGAAACCUCAAAUGACAGUGCUAAUGUUCUUGAAAUCUCUUAUCAAGAUGGUUCACACCAUAUAUUGUGAUGUCCCUGCGGCACAGCAAUGCUUCCAUCAGCUUAUCAGGAAGAACGAGGAUGAAAGAGCUG
rnacentral:lncRNA from 12 species